GCAGCGUGGUGGCAACACCUCGUAGUCUCAGCUACUAGGAAGCCUAGGCAGGAGGAUCAUUAUAGGCCAGUCAUUCUGCGGGCCAUAGAUGUGCUAUGCCGAUCAGGUGUUCACACUAAGUUCGGCCAUCAAUAUGAGUGACCUCCUGGGAGCGGGACCACAGAUUUUGCUAAGAAGGGUGAACAGCCCAGGUCGGAAAUGGAGCAGGAUCAUAAGUAAACUCCUGUGCUGAUCAGUAGUGGGAUCGUGCCUGUGAAAUUAGCUACUGCAUUCCACGCUGCGGCAACAUAGUGAGACCUCAUCUCU
rnacentral:SRP_RNA from 1 species